UACGUAGGGGGCAAGCGUUGUCCGGAUUUAUUGGGCGUAAAGAGCGUGUAGGCGGCCGUACAGGUCAGCUGUGAAAACUCGAGGCUCAACCUCGAGACGUCGGUUGAAACCGUACGGCUAGAGUCCGGAAGAGGAGAGUGGAAUUCCCGGUGUAGCGGUGAAAUGCGCAGAUAUCGGGAAGAACACCCGUGGCGAAGGCGGCUCUCUGGGACGGUACUGACGCUGAGAGACGAAAGCUAGGGGAGCGAAUGGG
rnacentral:rRNA from 1 species